rnacentral:tRNA from 1 species
GAAAUAAAAUAACAUGAAUUUCUAAUUCAAAAAAUAAUAUUUAAUAAUAUUAUUAUUUCU